GUGUCUCUCUAAAUUGUGUAUUAAUGGAAUAAUAAUGAGGCAAUUAAGGUGAGAAUCUAGAAUUAAUAGUGGUAAUCUUCUUAACUAAAUAAAUCUUCUGAGCUAGACUCGCGGCAAGACGCACGCAAAUAUAAUCCUAAUCCCUAAAUCCCUUUCUUUAACUUUUCUUUUCAUUUUUUUCCCUUCUCUUCUCCGUCUUUCCCUUCCAACGUUACGGCUUGGUUUUGCGAUAAGCAACUCUCUCUGCUUUCAGUUUCAGCAUCCGCUUCCUCUACGCCGAU